CCCGUCCAUCUUUUCGAUUCGAAAUGAAUAUUUACGGCCUUCCCCAUAUUCGUCCUGUGAUCUUCUCUUCUCCUUCCUCUAAUCCAAUUUUCCUCAAGUUCACGACAUGCCCCUUCCAAAGCCCCAAAUUCACCAUACAAUCCCCUUUCCUUCAUCUCCCACAGAUGCCCUUCUUGCGGACAAAGCCCUAACGCUCCUUAAACGCCAUCCUUACCAACUAAAUUCCCUGUCUUCCCAUUUUACCCCUGAAACAGCUUCCUAUUUACUCCUCAAAUCCCAGCAUGAUCAAACCCUCACCUUAAAGUUCAUCAAUUGGGCUCAACCUCACCCAUUCUUCGACCCUCGCUGCAAGUGUCUUGCCCUUCACAUUUUAACUAAAUUCAAGCUCUACAAACCAGCACAGACCGUAGCUCAGGACUUAGCUGUGAGUACAGCGGAUGAUACUGGUAGUUUCGUGUUUCAAUGUCUUAAAGAAACGUACCACUUUUGUAAUUCCAGCUCUGCUGUCUUUGAUUUAGUGGUAAAGUCUUACUCCCAUUUGAAUUUUAUUGAUAAAGCUUUAAACAUUGUAAAUUUAGCUAAAUUUAAUGGAUUUAUGCCUGGCGUUUUGUCCUAUAAUGCCAUUAUAGAUUCAAUAAUUAGGUGUCAAAAACCUAUUAGAUUUGCUGAGGAGGUGUAUAGGGAAAUGAUUGCAAGUGGGAUUUCUUUAAAUGUGUAUAGCUACAAUAUUUUGAUUAGGGGUUUUGUUAGGGCGGGGAAUUUGAAAAUGGGUUUAAAGUUUUUUAAGGAAAUGGAGAGGAAUGGGUGUUUGCCUAAUGUGGUGACAUAUAAUACAAUGAUUGAUGCACAUUGUAAGUUGAACAGGAUUGACGAAGCUUUUGGUUUAUUGAGAUCAAUGGGUUUGAAGGGUUUGGAGCCGAAUUUGAUUACAUAUAAUAUGGUAAUAAAUGGGCUGUGUAGAGAUGGGAGAAUGAAUGAAUCUAGUGAGAUUCUUGCAGAGAUGAGUCGAAAGGGUUAUGUUCCUGAUGAAGUAACUUAUAAUACACUCGUAAAUGGAUAUUGCAAAGAUGGCAAUUUCCACCAAGCACUUGUUUUGCAUGCAGAGAUGGUGAGAAAUGGAUUGUCACCCAAUGUUGUUACAUAUACUUCAUUAAUUAAUUGUAUGUGUAAGGCUGGAAAUUUGAAUCGAGCAAUGGAGUUUUUUGAUCAGAUGCAUGUUAGAGGACUUCAUCCAAACGAGAGGACAUACACAACAUUGAUCAAUGGGUUUGCCCAAAAGGGGUUCUUGAAUGAGGCUUAUCGGAUUCUGAAUGAAAUGCUCAGGAGUGGAUUCACACCUUCAAUUGUGACUUAUAAUGCCCUUAUUAACGGACAUUGUGUUUUGGGGAGGACAGAAGAGGCCAUAGGCUUGUUACAAGACAUGGUGGGUAAAGGGUUGUCCCCUGAUGUUGUAAGUUAUAGUACUAUCAUAGCUGGAUUUUGUGGUAAUCAAGAGUUGGAAAGGGCAUUUCAAAUGAAACUGGAGAUGGUUGAGAAAGGUGUUUUGCCAGAUGCCAUCACCUAUUCAUCACUUAUUCAAGGUCUUUCUGAACAAGGAAAGCUAACUGAAGCUUGUGAUCUGUUCCAAGAGAUGUUGACUUUCAGGCUGCCUCCUGAUGAAUUUACGUAUACAACUUUGAUCAAUGCUUAUUGUAAAGAAGGAGAUUUGAAGAAGGCUCUUCAUUUGCAUGAUGAAAUGAUACAUAAAGGAUUUCUACCAGAUGUUGUCACUUACAAUGUGCUUAUUAAUGGGCUUAAUAAACAAGCUCGAACAAAGGAAGCCAAGAGACUUCUGCUUAAGUUGUUUUAUGAUGAAUCUAUCCCAUCUGAAGUAACGUAUGAUACACUGAUAGAAAAUUGCUGUAAUAUUGAAUUUAAGAGUGUGGUUGCACUGAUGAAGGGAUUUUGCAUGAAAGGUAUGAUGGAUGAAGCAGAUCGAGUUUUUGAAUCAAUGAUUGAGAGAAACCACAGCCCAAAUGAAGCUGUAUAUAAUGUUAUCAUACAUGGUCAUUGUAGAGGUGGAAAUAUUCAGAAGGCAUAUAAACUUUACAAGGAAAUGGUUCAUUUUGGCUUUGUUCCUCAUACUGUGACUGUAAUUGCUCUGGUAAAAUCACUUUUUUUAGAGGGAAUGAAUGAAGAGUUAAAUCAAGUUAUAGAGAACAUAUUGAGAAGCUGCAAGCUUACUGAUGCCGAGCUUGCUAAAGUCCUUGUUGAAAUCAACCAUAAAGAAGGGAACAUGGAUGUGGUUUUUAAUGUGCUUACUGAAAUGGCCAAGGAUUGCCUUAUUCCUAGUAGUGGUAGUGGAACUCCUGCCAAUCCUUGGGCAUAGUCUGUUUGAUGUACAAUUCAUUCUUCUAAUCUGCUUUCAAUGGUCACUGGACGUAUUUUGUCAUAUAGAGGAUAUAGUGUGCUGAGUGUCAUGGUUUACUUGGUUUUGCCUUUCUGCUACUUCAAGGGCCAAGUGCUAUGGGAUGCCUACAGAAGAUCCUUAUUGCUUCAUUAUUUUCCUGUGAUUCUGAUGCCAGUGAGUUCUCUUAUCUAUGAUCAAACUUGUCUUUCCUUGUCAGUAGUUCAUGAUAAAUGUAAUUGAAAUUGCAUGCACCAACUGUUCGCUCACCUUAAAUAUAAUUAUAGUGCUUUCAUUGCAGGAGUUUAAAUUGCUUUCCCUGCAUGUGUUGCUAUUGUGCAUAGUUAAUGAAUGCAUACAAAUUCCACAUCCUUGCAGUCUUCUGCUGGGCUUUAGGAUUAACUGCUGAUUAUUGUAGUGUUAUUUUUACACAUUCUGUAUAGUCAGCCACAACUGCUGCCACUAUAAACAACCAACCCCCCCUUUCUUCUCUCUUUUCUUCUUUCUUCUUCCUGUGAAAAAGAAAAAAGGGCAACACCCCCAAAAUCUCUUUUCCUUAUUUCUAUUUGAUUGAUCCAACAGCUAAUAUUCUCUAGUGUGAAGGCAUUCAUAUUUGUUCUUAUGUACAAGUACUUAAUGUCCCUUUUAUUCACCCUAUCCCAUCUACAUCUCCAUGAAUUUUGAGACUUCCAAGAAAUACAUACGAAUGACUAUCCUUUUUCAAGAUUUUUGGACAGGAUCAUUAGAUUUGUAGCCUCUUUUUGUUGUCAUCAUGUUAUUUCAACCACUAAUAUCGCUACAUGAAGAUGGAAAACCGGACUGGUUUAACCAAGAACUGGAGCCUGGACCGGUUCAGUUUUCUUUCAAACCCUGGUUUUGAUAAACUGGUCCUGAACUGGAAUAAAACGGUUGGGUAACCACUGAACCGGUGGGACCCGGCCGGGUUUAAACCGGUUGGUUAGGUUACUGAUCAAACCAUUUAGUCUGAUUACUCAUCAAAAAAUGCUGAGGCACAAGAGGGGAAGUUGGGACUUGAUGACCACCUGGCAUUGCUGGUGCACGGUCACACCACUGCAGCCACAUCAUGAGUUUGGUAUUCUGCCCCUCAAUAUAUA
rnacentral:misc_RNA from 1 species